AAACAAUCUCACAACAACCACCCAUCCCACAAAAUCCCUCGUAGGAAGCAUGACACCAUCACUACACCAGCCAAGCACAGUGCCCGGCUAUGAUCAAAUCACUUGGGCUAAUUGACGAUUCCCUAAUGGCGGCAAAUAUCUUAUUCCUAAACUCUCUGGCAACCACCUAAAUAUCUGAAACGAAAAAUAUCACGUCCCGAACUCAACAUCC
rnacentral:lncRNA from 1 species